UUAGAUACAGAAAUGGUGGCUGUCCUUACUAUUGUCAAAAUGAAUCUAUUAAAUAUUCCAGGACUGACUCAACAUACGCAUAACAGCCAGGUGAUAUCAAUGCAACUGUGAAGAGUCUUUCCUAGGUACCCACUUUUGGCUAGUAUCAGUGACAGGCUACUGGAUUAACAGGAACUUUUGGCCAAACAGAGCUAUUGUCAUCUUCUGAAUAUGAACCUCCUGGGCAUUUAUCCGGUACUUCAGAAAAAGAGCAAGAAGCAGAAU